GUCCUUUUGUAGUUCAUGAGCAUGAUGAUUGGGUGUUCAUGAGAACAUGUGAGCUAUGCCACCCUCUGAACCUUGUUACGACAUCGGUACAUUACCCAUCUGACC